UACGUAGGUGACCAGCGUUGUCCGGAUUUACUGGGCGUAAAGAGCGCGCAGGCGGUCGUUCAAGUCGAGUGUGAAAGCCCCCGGCUCAACUGGGGAGGGUCACUCGAUACUGAUCGACUUGAAGGCAGGGAGAGGGAAGCGGAAUUCCCGGUGUAGUGGUGAAAUGCGUAGAUAUCGGGAGGAACACCAGUGGCGAAGGCGGCUUCCUGGCCUGUUCUUGACGCUGA
rnacentral:rRNA from 1 species